rnacentral:misc_RNA from 1 species
GGGAAGCUCAUAAUUUAAUAACAAAACAAGCACAAUAAAUACUUAGGGUACCUUCAACAGCAUCCUUUAAAAUAGGAAAAACUUAGUUAGAGUUAUCAUCAUGUAGCAUUACUUAAUUAUUGUGUUAUGAGUCACAAUAUAUUAAUCUACUAAUUUCCUUAACAUGGAUCAUUUUUGUUUCAGGUUGCAGAUUUUGGGCUGGCUA